GUCGGCCCACAGGCUGGGCACUAACGGGUCCCGGGGCGCCGGGGCGGACUGCGGCGGUCGUAGUGGACUAAUUUUACAGGCGAAGUUAAGUGACUUACCCAAAACCUCACAGCUAAUAAACGGCAGAGCCGGCACCCAGCUGUACUGGCUUCCAGCGCAUCCCAUUAUCUCCAUAAAUCCCCCUGAUUCAACUAAUAUUAGACGCCCCACAGGUAAGAUGCUUCAGAGUUAGAGGGGAGUUGAAGAUACCUUUGCCUUCAAAGAAGUAAGGAAUGAAACAAAGAUAAAACAGACAAUAAAAGACAAACCAUGAUAGGUGCCACGUGAAAAGUGGCAGAGUACUGCCGGGAAUCAAAGAACCGUGUAUAUCUGUCUUGGGGAUAAGGAAAGAAACGCAGCAUGAAGGAGUAGGCAUUUGGGAUUGACCUUGAAGGAGACAGGGAGAGUUUUACAGCAAGAAGGGAUAGCAUGAGAAUAUAUAUGAAGGCGAAUCAGUGAAAGUUGUGUUGGGGAAAGAGCAAAGACUCCAGGUAUGUUGAGAGGUAGAAAAGACAAAGGAGUAUGGGGCCUAAGAUACCAAAUGGAUGAAUUUAUAUUUAAUUCAGUAUUUUGAGUUUUUAUGGUUCAGAAGUUUGGGGGAAGAAAAGGAAGGUUUUUUUUUUCUUUAUGCUAGUGAUUUAUCUGUGAAGGGAAGCAGAAAUCAGAGGUGGAAAAACUGACAGAUCUACUGUAGGCCAGGUAAAAGGUAAUGAUGAGUCUGACCUAAAGGGACAGCCAGGGGAAUUUAAAGAGCAUAGUUGAGAGAUGAUGUGCAUGCAGAAUCUAUAGAAUUUGCUAACUGAUUGAUUAAUUGUGGGUAGGAAGAGAGAAAUCAAAGAAAGUGGAGGUUUUGAGUUUCUAGAUAAUUGCAAGAGAGAAAAGAGACAAUUACAAAGGAAAGGAGAAGGAGCUACUUCUUGAGAGAAGAUCAGUUUAGAUUUAGACAUUUUAAGAAUUCAAAGGGUUGUCAAGACAGCCAGACGGACAUGGACACUAAUAAGUUAGAAAUAAAGGUUUUGUAAUAUGGGAAAGAGGACUGAGCUAGAAAAUAGACUCAUAGAUAAUCAGCCUAGGAGUGAUAUUGCUGUGAGAUAAAAGAAGAAAACAAAGUCAGAAUCUUGGAAAACACCCUCUUCAGAGUCUCGCUGCUCAAAACGUGGUCAGUGGCCCAGCAGCACUGACAUGAGGACCUUAGUUGGAAACUCAGAAUCUCAGGCUCCACCCCAGACCUGCUGAACCAGCAUCUUCAACUUAACAAGAACCCGAAGAGAUUUGUGCCACAUCAAAAAGUUUGAGAAGCUCUGAUCUAGGUGAGCCAAGCCAGCAAAGAAAGGGGGUGGAGCAGAAAAUGGGAGGAGAAUAGGGUAAUGCAGAAUCAUCAAGACAAGGUAAAUUGGACUUUCACAAAAACGGGGCUGGAAGGAGUGUUGCUCAACAAUAUCCAAAACCACAGAGGUUGAAAAGCACAAGGAAAGAAGCUGGACCCUGGACACGGUGACUCUGAUUCAAUUAUGCAGAUGACCACAAGCCUCUGGGGUUGGCAGAGCCACAAGAAAGAAGGUGCCUGGAUGAAGGAGAGCUACCCACUGACCUGGACACCCAAUUAUUCAUCUGUCUUAGAGCUAUUGGAAUCCUGGAUCAUUGUGGGAAAUGAAAAGUAAGUCUGGAUGCCCAUUUUAAUUCUUCUGAAAGCAUGCCUCCUUCUGGCUUCAGGACUCCAUCUCCAGCCUUAUGAUCUAAAAAUAAUCCCCAAACCAAAAAAUUAGAUAUUAUUUCCUCAAAAUUAGGUGUUUUAAUCAAAACAUCUUAACAUAAAUACAUUAUUAUCACCCAAUAUGCAUAAUGUUGUUCAACUUUUUUGUUAAAUGACUUAUUUUAGAUGAACAGAUGUGUGAAUAUGAAUAUUUUUAUUUCACUUACAGGCAUCUUGCAUGUGAAUAACUCACAACUUUAAUUCAUGGAACAAAUUGAGAAAUAGUCUUUUGGGGGUUUGGUACUCCCUGGAAACAUAAGAGUGCUUUGGGCACCUCUGGUGCCUUUCCAUGCCUGCCUUCUCUGCUGUUCUUGCUACUAGUGAAUUCUAAAUCAUGGCCAAGUGAUGCCAGCACUGGAUAAUAUUGGCUCUGCCCCAUAUCUCGAGGGAAAACUCUGGGACUUGGCAUUAUAUGUGUGGGAAUCUGGCCUUGGUUGGCACUCCCAGCAUGAUAGCAGGGUUCUGCUGUCUGAAUGUACUCUGGGGUGUGCGCCACAAUUUCUGUCAUCGAAAUGGAGAUGAGAGAAUAUGCCCUUGGUGGGGACACCCCACUGGAAUUAGAGUGAAGAGAUCAAAGCUAGAGGUUCUUAAAUCAAAGAAUGUCUAAUAGCAAAGACAAAAACUUGCUUAAGAGAAAUGCAUACAGGUACUAGACCUAAUAUGAUGAAAAAUGCUAACUUCAACAUAUUGAUGCAUGCUUAGUAUACUUUUAGUCCUGCAAAGACAAAAGUUUUUUGUUUGUUUUUUUUUGAGACGGAGUCUCGCUCUGUCGCCCAGGUUGGAGUGCAGUGGUGUGAUCUCGGCUUACUGCAAGCUCUGCCUCCUGGGUUCACACCAUUCUCCUGCCUCAGCCUCCGGAGUAGCUGGGACUACAGGCGCCCGCCACCACGCCCGGCUAAUUUUUUGUAUUUUUAGUAGAGAUGGGGUUUCACCGUGUUAGCCAGGAUGGUCUCGAUCUCCUGACCUCAGGUGAUCCGCCUGCCUUGGCCUCCCAAAGUGCUGGGAUUACAGGCAUGAGCCACCGCACCUGGCCCAGUCCUGCCAAGACAAAGUUUUAAAACACAGGUUGCACAUUGGCAGCUCUCAAGCCAAAUCUGGCCCAUAGACAUGGUUUGCUUGGCCUAUAAUGUUAGUAAUACUUGACCCAAGAUUUAAAAUUUGAAAAGUUUCAUAUAAAAAUAUAGAUUUACAGCUUUUCUAGAAAAACUAUAAGAGUUAACAGUUUCUGAAUUGCAACAGCAGCUGGAACACCGUUGCCACUGACCAUUUAGAUGACUGCUGCAGUCCCCACGGCUCACUCUGGUUCAGGUAGGGGUUCUAGUUUGUAACCCCUGGUUUAAAACAUAACUGACUCUCUAGUUUUUAAAAUUCUCUCAAAAUCAAAUAACCUGAACUAGCAAAUGAUCUAGAUCCUCGUACAUGGAACUCAUACUAAGUUGACCACAGACAGUGGCUCCCAAACUCUGCAGUACAUCAGAGUCACUGGGAAGCUUUAAAAAAUCCUGCUCCCUAGCUGGGUGCAGUGGUUUAUGCCUGUAGCCCCAGCUACUUGAGAGGCUGAGGUGGGAGGAUUGCUCAAGCCCAGGAGUUUGAGGCUGCAGUGAGCCAUGAAUGUACCACUACACUCCAGCCUGGGCAACAGAGCAAGACCCCAACUCUAAAAAAAAAUCCUGCUCCCCAGGUGACAGUAUCUGGGGGAAGGAGUAAGGCAUCUUAUUUUCAAAAGAUCAUAAGAAAAGAGGCUCAUUGCUGAGGCUCACUCCGGAGCCCACUUGGAUUCUUCACAAGAAAGUUUCCCUCUUCCAGAAUUUUAUAAUUGAGGGAACCGACUAGGGAAAGAUUAAUUUGCCCAAGGUCAAACAACUAGUAAAAGAAGUAAGGAUUCCAACCCAGAUCUUUUGACUCUAUUAUCCUUACAUAUAGUUUUAUAGUGAUUUAAAUUGAUACAAGGAUAGGUUUAAAUACAAGUAGAAUGCAGGUUCAUAUAAAACUGAUUUUAUCCUCAUGUUAGAAAACAUAUACACUGUAACAGAGGGAUGACCAUCAAGUGACCAAGAUAUUUUAGUCAAAAGAUGAAUUUUUCUGCAAUUGGAGAAUGCCAAAAAUAUUCAAAGAAAAUAUAAGUCUUGUAGGCAGUCUUCUAUCAAAACCCACUGAACCGCUGGGCACGGUGGCUCAUGCCUGUAAUUCCAGCACUUUGGGAGGCCAAGGCUGGUGGAUCACCUGAGGUCAGGAGUUUGAGACCAGCCUGGCCGACAUGGUCUCUACUAAAAAUACAAAAAAUUAGCUGGGCCUGGUGGCGGCACCUGUAAUCCCAGCUACUGAGGAGGCUGAGGCAGGAGAAUUGUUUGAACCUUGGAGGUAGAGGCUGCAGUGAGCUGAGAUAGCACCACUGCACUCCAGCCUGGGUAACAAGAGUGAAACUCCAUUCAAAAACAAAAAACAAACAAAAAAAAAACAAUGCACCAAAUACUAAGUUAUUAACUAGGAUACUGAUUAUUAAGCAUGUAAAACAUUUUAUGGAACUCAGAGUUUGAUGUAAAUUGCUAUAUUUUAUAAUUCAAACAAACCUUGUUUCAUGUCAUUAUAUUAGAGUAGCAUUAUGAGACAGGAUAUAGUGUAAGCUAUAUCCCCAAUAUAAUUGCAACUGUAUAUUUUAAAGCAUGGGGAAAAUAUGAAAAGAAUUAUGCUCAAAUGUGGGUAGGAUUAUAACUGAUUUGUUUUCUUCAUUUUCAGAUUUUUCUAUAAUGACUAUACAUUAUUUUUAUAGUCAAAAAUAGAAGUAUUUUAAAUGUUUCUAGGUAGAAUAGCAAAUUAGCUGAAAUAGUAUCUCCAACGUUAUUAUCAAGACUAGACUCCUUGGGUAAAUUGGUCAGAACAGUGUUGUUCUCAUUUUACACCUCUCCAAGAUUAACUAUGUUUUAGAUUUGUGUGUGUGUUUGGUUAAAGAGCCAGGAUGAAGAUCCAGAGUUCUUAAACCUGUAUACCACCAUACUACAUUGUCAUUUUAAAGAAAUGUCUAGUAGACUCGGUGGCAUAAACAUGGGCCAUUUACAAACUAGAUGUCUAAUAUCAGAUACCUCAAAUUUGACAGUAGACUUUUUUUCAAAGCUAAAGUGGUCUUAUGUUGACUAUUUUGUUUCUUACUUGAUACUUGUUUACUUUUUAAUUUUUGGCAAGUAAUGUUUCAAGUUAAAGUUUUAGCUAUAUAUAGCAGGCAGUAUUUCAAGUAAAUGAGUUACAUCAGUAAACACCUCUGUAUUACUAAACUGAGAAUCAGAAAAUGUAAUCUCUUUGGCAGGAUUCGUAUGUUUGUAUCACGUCUUUAUCCUCAGGCAACUUUUAUCUUGGAAUACUGAACCAGCAGUCAGAAUAUGAGGGACAUUAGACUGUGUUAUAGUUACUGUUCUGUCCUUAAGUCACUUGCCUUCUCUAAGUGUCAGUUGCCUCAUCUGAAAAUGGAGUUAGCAGACCCCAGCCUAUCCUGAGUUUGAGGGCUAAAGGGAAUUAUUCUUGAAAAUGUCUAUACAUGAUAAAUGUCACAAAUAUAACUUAGCAUUUUUUUUUUGAGACAGAGUUUCGCUCUUGUGGCCCAGGUCGGGGUGCAAUGUCGUGAUCUCAGCUCACUGCAACCUCUGCCUCCCGGGUUCAAGCGAUUCUCCUGCCUCAGCCUCCUGAGUAGCUGGGAUUACAGGCAUGCACCACCACACCUGGCUAAUUUUGUAUUUUUUAAUAGAGACGGGGUUUCACCAUGUUGGUCAGGUUGGUCUCGAACUCCUACCCUCCGGUGAUCCACCCGCCUUGGCCUCCCAAAGUGCUGGGAUUACAGGCAUGAGCCACCGCACCUAGCCAAUUCUACUUCUAUUACAUUUUCAGCAUAUAUCACUUCAUUGCUCCUCCAUAUUAUUUUUCACUGGUCUUCUUACAUCUUGUGUGCCCAUAUUUAAGUAGUUUUCUUUCCAGGUAAAAAAUACAUGUGUGCCUAAAAGAUUUUAAAGUCAACUUUUCAUAAACCAUACCUAAAUUAUCAAAGUUAUUAGAAUUAUUAGAAAGUAUUAGCUAAUUCUUUUAUAAAAUGUAGACUUUAUUAUUUUAGAAAUAUUGAUUCCUCUCUAUUCAGCUAUCUUAAAGAGGGUAUAUUUUAAUCAUCGCAAUAUAUUACCUUCAUAGUAUUUUUUACUUUUGCAAAGUAUAUUUUGUCAUGUUAUUUCAUUUAGGAAUGCACUAAAUCUACAUAUCUACAUAUGAUUAUACAAGGAAACAUCUUUGUCUCAAAAAUGGGUUCUAUUACAUUUUUUAAUUUCCAGGGGUCAUGAUAUAUAAAAAGACCUGAUUUAUCUUAAAAAUACAUACUUUUAUUCUUACCUACCAUACAUCUUUUUUUGUGAUAAUCAGAAGGCUUAAUUUACUAUAAAAUAGGAAAACAACAGCUAUGUUAGAUUAUAUAGUUAAUUUAGGGAUUAAAUGAGUUAAGGUCUACAAGCCCCUGGCACAUGGCAGACAAUCAAUAAUUGAUCAUUUCCUUUGCAUCUAUAAAUUUGUUCAUUCACUUCUCAUGUGGUUCUACCUUAGACAACGAUUUUUGUUUACAGAGACAAAUAGAAGUAUCUAAUCCUAAAUAACCCAAUCAAUUGGUAAAGGCUACACUACAAAGCUGGCAUGACUUCACCAAAUGCUAGAGAAACAGUGUUAAGAGUGACAACACUAAAAGUCUUACACUCUGAUGAUGCUAGUUGCCGCCGAAUUGCUUCCCCUACCAGUUCCUUAAGUUUCUUCUUAUGAUCCCGGCUGGUUUUCUUAUAGAAAUAAAGAUCUUUUUCCAACUGCUGGAUUUUAUCUUCAUAUGUUUUGAAAGUUUCCAUAAUGCCUUCUCCAUCUUGUUCUAUACAACAAAAAUUUGCAUUUAAAAUCAGUUUUAAAUAAAUGAUGCAAAAUUAUGUUUUUGUUUGUUUCUUUGUCUUUUUGAAACGGAGUCUUGCACUGUCGCCCAGGCUAGAGUGCAGUGGCGUGAUAUGCUCGGCUCACUGUAAGCUCCGCCACCCAGGUUCACACCAUUCUCCUGCCUCCGCCUCCCAAGUAGCUGGGACUACAGGUGCCCAGCACCACGCCCGGCUAAUUUUUUUGUAUUUUUAGUAGAGACGAGGUUUCAUCAUGUUAGCCAGGAUGGUCUCGAUCUCCUGACCUCGUGAACUGCC
rnacentral:lncRNA from 10 species